rfam:Stereum hirsutum FP-91666 SS1 unplaced genomic scaffold STEHIscaffold_11, whole genome shotgun sequence.
GGUGACUGAGGUCGCUGCAAGCAGACAAUUUCCUCGCCUUUUACUAGGAAAUUCCGUGUUGCGGCCUCAUUCCAAAGUCACCUUGCGAAUUUUUCAGACCUCAGCUCGUUCUGGGAA